ACAGCUGUAGUAUAGUGGUUUAGUAUAGCUCGUUCCCAGAGGGUUAUACGAGUUGACGCGAGUUCGAAUCUCGCCAGCUGUA